rfam:Stegodyphus mimosarum contig2417, whole genome shotgun sequence.
GCCUUCAUGGUGUAAUGGUCAGCACACUGAGGCGGUAUUUCAGAGGUCCGUGGUUCGAUCCCCGGCGAAGGCA